UACGAAGGGGGCGAGCGUUGUUCGGAUUUACUGGGCGUAAAGCGCACGUAGGCGGCUGUUCAAGUCAGAGGUGAAAGCCUGGAGCUCAACUCCAGAACUGCCUUUGAAACUAGACAGCUAGAAUCAUGGAGAGGUAAGUGGAAUUCCGAGUGUAGAGGUGAAAUUCGUAGAUAUUCGGAAGAACACCAGUGGCGAAGGCGACUUACUGGACACAUAUUGACGCUGAGGUGCGAAAGCGUGGGGAGCAAACAGG
rnacentral:rRNA from 1 species